AUCACAUGUAAAGGGAGUGUGGCCUAGAGCUCUAAAGAGUCCUGAUAAGUUCUGUGUAAAGAAAGCUAUUUCUAUGGCUUUCUUUGAAGAUCCUUUGGUGACUUUCAGCAUGGACCAACCCAGCUGUGUGCCUUUUGAGGCCAUCUGCAGUUACAUGAAAAUCAAGUGCUGGGAUUACAGGGCAGCUGUCUCAUCAAUAGCCAGAAUCCAGGCCUCGUCUUGAUGUGAUUAUUUGUCUUUUGGCUCACAUGGGCUGUGUGAGAGCUUCGAUCAAGAUGCUGGAAGAGAAUGCGAGAUCCUACAAGUAAACAGCUGGCUAUGAAGAUGGAUGGUAUUGUCAAAAAAGCUUUGGAUUCUUUGACCAUGCAUGCUUUGUACAUGAACAACUCCUGAAUUAUAUGGAAUGCACCUUACAAGGAUUUGGAAGAAUGUCUUUGGCAUGAGCCUCACAAACCUGAUCAGAAAGGGCUUAAACUGAACCUGAUGGGGGAGGGAGAUGAAAGUUCAGGGCCAAGUUAGUAUAAAACCAAGUAUUAAGGAGAAGAAAACAUGUGCCAAAGGUGGAAGCAAAAUGGAGGAAGGGGCACUCUGAAAUUCACUGUUCACUACAGCAAGGAAGCCAGAAGACAAUCAUAUCCAUGGUCUCCAACAUCUAUACACAAAUGCAGAGUUUGUGAAACAAACAGGCGGAACUUGAAAUCCUAACCCUAAUCCUAAUCCAGGAAAUCCCCCGCCAUGCCUCGCCAUAAAGCAAUGACAACCUGAAGGUUUUAUUUUAGCAAAUGGCAUGUCUGGGGCUCCACAGCAGCUUCAGGAGGAUUUUUGACGGGGAAAAGGCAAAGAAAAAGGUAAAAUACCCCUUGCCUCUGCAACAUGGUCCCAAUUCAGGCUGGGGUCUCAUGAAGCUGCUGUUUUGGAUUUUAAAAAUGUCACUAACUAGACAAUGACAUGUUUUAACAAGCUGUGCAUGGUCCCAAUUUUUGACCAUAAUUGAGUAACAACCUAGGUGGGCAGAGAGUGAAGUGAUGAUAGUGUGGGAGCCUUGCACUGUGGAGGAUUGUGCCACCCUACCCGGAAUCUGUACCCAGCUGUUUAAUGGGUAGGAGGAAAAACUGUACUAGCUAGUAUGAGGCUCCCACAUGAUCACUUUCCCCUCUUCCUACCUAGGUUUUUACUUGCAUAAGUUAAUUUGGAAUUAUGCACAGCUCCUGAAGCUGGGUAGGACACUUGUUCCACUCAUGGUCACAUGGACGAGCCUAUAAUCUAGUAUGGCCCUUCCAGGCAAACAUGCAUAGGAUCAGAGCGUAGCCACUAUUGGGUGACCGGGUUCAAAGAAACUGGGUCGCUGCCUCUCAGGGGCCGCACCUCAUGGCCCCGGCAUCCCUCCACAUUUGACAUCAGACACCGGUGUGUGUGUGUGUGUGUGUGCUUUAGCUCCAAAGAGGGGCUGCACCCAGAUAGAUUAGUGCACUGUUUGCAAACUAAAAUGGACGAGGGUGGGGGGAAGAGAGAGAACGUUUGUAUCUUGAGGGAAAGAUGACGAGUAACAAUAACCAUCCCAGGUAUAACCUGGGUCCUUGAAGAAGGUUUCCUGACCCAGCCCAGGCUCAGAAUGUUUGCUGGACAAGCAGCAUGCUUUCUUUUGCAAGCUGUGGAUGACCCAAGUGUUAUCACUGAAUGGGUCUCAGUGGUGGGAAAAUCUGUGAGAAAACAAGAAGAGAUAUGAUCCGAAAUGAUGGUGAUCUAGAAGCACACACUUUAGCUUGUUGCUCAAGAGAACUGUCUUUACUACCUUGACGUCUCACAGACUGGAUGGUGCCUUGAGAGACAUUCCUUAGACAUGAGAGCCCUUUCCAUCCUAAGGGGAGGUCAUGGCUGGAGCUGUUGCAAUGGGAGAGCUGUCCUUUUGCAGGCCCAUUACCUUCCUAGUGUCUAGCGGAUUCAGGAAGGAAUGGUUGGUUACCAUCACCUGAAGGGUGGCAAUUAGGCACCCAGAUAAGGGGUCCCUGUUGCAUGUGCUGCAAGGAGGGUAGGCAAGAUAGGAAGUAUCAGCUGAUGGAGAUCAAGGGAAAGGGCCAUAUAUAUGUCACAUUCCCUAUGCUAUCUGGGACCAAUAUUUGCACUUGUUUUUGUGGCAAAGAUCUACAAGAUUUUAUGUCAUAUUGGUUAGUUCACCAAAAGUAUCACUAGUGGACUAGUAGACUCCCCCCCCCCGGGGGUUUAGCUCACACACAGCUAAAGAAUGUGUUUAGUUCUUCACACAGGGUGUUUAGCUCGCAUCUCCUUCAGAAUGGAGGGUGUGCAUUCACAUAUAGGCCAGAUUCACCCUGAAGUCCCUGCAAGCUAUAGGGGAGCACUUCACAUACAAUCGCACGUUACAGUAUAGCCUGAUUUAUAUCCAGGGUUGUUUUUUUAAAAAAAAUCCACAUUUUGCUUUGGUUUAUUUGGGCAACUUCGAACCCACGGUAAAGCCUGCUGUCUGAAAAUGUUCCAGUGGAUCAACACAGCUACGUACAAUUUUCAAAAAGGUCUAGUGGCUCCUGCUUCUGUUUUGUGUGUUUGUCUUAUAGCCUCUCCAGGUUUCUCUGUCUAUCUCCAGGGGAAAUUUCAGAAUUCUCAAAAGUCAGAGGCUAGCUAUUUUUGACAUGACGAAGGCAACAGGCUUGUUCAAACGACCAGGAUUGGAGUCAGGGAAGCAACCUGUCUUAAAUCAGGAGCUGUGCAUGCUCUCAUUUGCUGAUUUAAAACCAAGGUUGGGAGGGGAGGAAGUAAUUGUGUGGGUAGCAGAGGUUUGUGCCUUACCCAGUAGCUGUGCCUACCUGGUGAUUGUGGUAGGACAAAAACCUCUCCUCCCCAGCUGCUGCACCCCACAUGAACACUUCCUCCCUCUCUGAAGUUGGUUUUAAUUUGCAGACGACUGGCAAACAGGAGCACACGCAGCUCUUGAUUGGGGCAAGUGGCUUCUCCUACCCUUAUCCUGGUCAUGUGGACUAAUAUGCAGCCAGGCUCUCAGACUACCCUCUCUCCCUUUCCCUUGCUGCUCCCAAUCAUUGGCAUGCCCUUCCACAGGAUAUUUGACAUUAGCAUCCAUCUUGUGGUCUGGCCUCUUUGCUGAAUAACCUGAAAUUGUGUUAAGAGUGGGAUGAAGCCUCAGUACUCGCCAGAAUUGCUUGCCAUGUCAAACCUUUCAGCUCCAAAAAGCUUUAGUGUUGACCAAACCUCAGAAUGACCUGACCUAAAGGGAGGAUUUGCUCGUUUCCACACUACAUCAAAGUACCACAAGGAGACUGGAGAACUGCAGGUUGUUUUCUUCAUCUAUGCCAUAGCGAUCGUGUUCAAGCUGGAUUGCCAUCAAAACGGAACGGCCUCACUCUCGAGCCAAACCCCCCUGGUCCAGCUUGGGGACAGUUCAGGGUUAAAAUGGAUCAAACUGGCCCACUGAAGAUCACAGGCAGUGGGGGAGGGGGGACCUCCUGUGGCAGCACCCCCGGAAGCCGCCGGACCUGCCUGUAAGCAAAAUAAUAUAUAUAUUUUAACAUUUAGAACCCUGAACCAGCUCAAACACAAGUUGAGCUGGGGUUCUAGUUUGCGGGCACAAAACCCAACAUGCCUGGUCUGGUUCGAGUCCAAUCCAGACUCGAACUGAACCAGGCAAACUGGUUUUGUGCACACCCCUACUAUGCCAUGGGAAAGGGAGUUGCCCACAUUUUCAAAUGCUUCCAUUUUAUUGGGGAGAACCAUAAGAAUGAUUAUAUAGAGGUGCUGGCUAUGUCUGUUAAGCAUUAUAUAUCCAAGUGUAAAGUGAUUUUAUGAGGGCCUGUUUCCAUUUGAGAGUUCAAAGGUCUGGGGAAUCCUUGGGAUCCAUAAUGAUCUCAUUCUGGACACAGAGUAGUUGGAAUAGCAACACAAGUGAGAAAGCUUCCCCUUUCAAUUAAUAGAUUCAUGCGCGUCCUUAGUCUAUUCAGACAUUAUGUUGUAUGUGUGACAGGUUACAUAUACAUGUGCAUGUUUUUGUCUGAAUGUACAUGUGUUCAUUUUAAAAGUGAACCUGGGAACUGGCCUCCUCAAAUUCAGGGGACAGAUAGGAAGUGUAUUCCUGUACAUGUGUUGAAUACAGUGCAUGAAUAACUAUAUGUACAUACAGAUCUGUACGUGUGUUCACUGUACCGAAACUAUGACAUGUGAAUCAGGCUUUUAAUGGGGGCUCUUUCCCCAGUUGCCCUUCUCUUUCCUCAAUAAUGUGUUUUCUCUUUGAUUAGAGUGUAAACCUGUGGACAGGGUCUGUUUUGUUUUUUUAAAACUUUGAACAGUGCUAGUGGUUUUAGCCAUUUAUGAAUUUUAAAAAAUCUGGCAUUUUACCAAAUGAGAGCUGAGAUUCUUAGGAUACUAAUUGCACUGCCCAAUAUCAAAUUGAUGAGUGCUUGGGAGGAAUCACAAAAGGCAAAGAAUGCUCCAUAUACACGAGAUGUCAUUUUUAUUUUGAGUGACUGGCUGUUCUUCAUCCCUUUCCACCUACUGAAAUUGUAUAUUGCAAUUGUGCUGGUAGCACUUGAUUCAUCUGCUAUGAGAAUAUGUGACACUUAUGAGGUCAUUUCAAGUCUUCAGCCAGCAGAGCAUUGUGAAAGCUUAUCUCAGAAUGGACAAAGAGCUAAAAGAAAAGAAUGUUGCAUUUCAAGCCAUUUAUAGUUUUCCCAGGACAGUUAGUGAAGAAUCCAUUGAUUUCCUUUCAGAAAAGCAGCCCAGAAAAAACUGGAAAAUACAUUCUUGGUAAUAUUUCCAUUAAAUUGAGAUAUAUUAAUUAUUGCAGAUAUCUCUGCAAUUAGUGCCAAUUGCUGAACUAAUUCCCAUUCAAUAGAGGCGUAUCUAGGGAAAAUAGCACCCAGGGCAAACACUGAAAUUGCGCCCCCUGUCCAAACAUCUGAUACCCAUCUUUCAGAUAACUUCACCAUAAUAUCAGCUCAAAAAUAAAAGUCAAGCUUGUUAAUCUUUUAAUAUUUCAAAAACUAUUUAGCAGUGGACGUAGCCAGACCAAAAAAUGCUGGAAAACUACACAUUUCAGUAUGCUGUGGCUCAUGAAAUACCCAAAUACUAUGUGGAGGUGUACCUGGAAAACUAAACAGAAGUGCCUGUAUAAUUCUCUACUAUGUAUUGUAGCAUCAUCAUUACAUAAGUUUUAAAAA